rnacentral:rRNA from 1 species
GUAACAAGGUUUCCGUAGGUGAACCUGCGGAAGGAUCAUUACAG